ACUAUUUUAAAGCUGGAGAAACUGAUUCCUAUAGAUUGACUAUGAUGUGGAAGAACCUAGAUUAAAAUCCAGGCCUCCCGACGCCCUAGUCAGCGAUCCUUGUUCUAUAUACACUGUGUAGGGAAGCAAGAAUUGUCUUUCCAUGACUCUCAAAAGAAUGAGGAAAGAUCUUUGAAGCUCUCGGCAAACAUCUCUGAUCACAUCUGACUGACUGGAACUGGGUCACGUGCCCGUUUCUGAGGAUGUUGCUACCACCAAAUGCUCUUACAAUAUUUAGUUGAACUGGACGUGCUGGUGGAAACCACUGGGGAAAGACUUCAGCUCUGUGUUGAAACACUCAACCUGGGAAUUUGUCCUCCAGGGCCACAUAGAAGCUGGAUAAGUAUCUGAGUAUCUGAGUUUGCUUUCUUAAGCCCUUCACUUAGAAUCCUGUAAAAUGGCUAAGAACAGUGGCUCUCAAACUUUUUAAGCAGCAGAAUGUUUUUCUCUCAAAUGAAAUCUCAUCUGGAACUUGAUACAUAUCAAACAGGUAAAUGGUAAUUACUUUUUAUGCAUUUAAAAAGUAAUUUCUAAUGACUAGAAAUUUUUACAAAGUCAAUCAGUGACAAUGAGGUUGUUUUAACAGAAAACAUUAAGUCAGGGAUCGUGGAUGACAGUUGCAUUUUUUUGGCAUACACUUCAGCAUCUGACUUCUAUCUGUAUUUUAUUUUGGUUGCAUUACAUGAAUAAUGGACAAUCAUAUUUCAACACUGCUCUGAGUGCUUCAAACAUGUCAACUCAUUUAAUUCAUAACUCUCUGAGACACUAUUAUUCCCAGGUGAGUAAAGGGAGGCCCAAAUAGCUAGAUACGUGGCCCAAAGUCACAGAGCAAGCUAGAGCUGGGCUUCAAACCUAGGCAGCCUAGUCCCAUAGUCUAUGAACUGAAUAAUGAUUUUCUUUUGCUGCUUCAAUUAAAAGCCUACUAUAUAUAUGUAGUUGUAAUUAAUAACUUUUUAAUUGCCUGCCUUGCAAGCUCAGACUAUUCUUUAAUUAAACUUGGAAAGCAGAAGAGGUUUCAUUCCAAGCUCCAAGCAAAAAAAUAAAUUAAAAAAAAAACCUAACAUCAAAAGCACCCGCAUUAGGGUUUCAGGGAACAAUUUGAAAAUUCCUGACCUACAGCAUGAGGGACAUCUUGAAGGGCCAAUCCGCCUGUCAAAACCCACGUGUGAAGGAUCCUCAGGGGGUAGUAGAGACAAAAAACAUUGGCUGGCAUUUUACCAAAUGGAAAUCUCUAGUCUCUGGCACUACCAAUAUUCCCCAUUACAAAUCUUCCAGCUGGUAAACAGAAUGAUGCCACUGACAUUUAAUUGAAAUGUCAGCACAUUUAGAAAGAGCCCUGAUGAAACUGCCAAGUUAAAGUUAUCGCUGAUGACUUAAGCUAAAUAGAAACAGAAAAUCACCAUGAAUAUCCCCCACUUCCCACCCCUGCACUAUAAUAUCAGACGGAGAGAAAGCAGAGAGCUCAGCUGUCCAAGAAAAAUUUACAGAUAGUUUUUAAAUGGAGUUUUAUUCUAGCUAUGAAAAACUAUGGGGUAAUUGGAAAACACUUGUGAAAGUAAUCAGGUCUGAGACAGGCCAAUGCCCACGUAAAUCAAUUCAACAAGCAUACAUUGAUUAAAUUGCCUUUGGAUAGUAAUAUUGCCUUACAUUUAUUUGCAUAGUUUACAGUUUAUAGAGGCUGUGGUAGAUGGCAGAAAUGGCCCAAUUCUUCACCACUCUCUGAUCCUCACCUUAUGCCACUGUAACUUUGUCACACGAUCUCACUCUGUUGCUGGGCUUAACCAUGUGAUUUGUUUUAGCCAAUGGGAUGUUAGGAGAUGUGCCAUUGCAGAGGCUAAAAAAGCACUUGUGUGUUUCCACUCAUCCUUGCCCUAUAUUUCGCCAUUAGAAAACAUGCCCAUGGAAUAGAACCAAGGCAUCCCAUUGUUCCAGCCAAUGGCCAUCCUAGGUCAGCAAUAGAUAGGUAGCUCACUUCCAGGCAUGCACGCGAGCCCAGCCCGUAUCAGCAGACACAAUUAGUUGACCUGCAGCUGAGCACAAUCACAUGUGCAAGUAGAGUUAGGAGCAGCCAAGCUCAGAUCAGCUGAAGCCCAGUCUCAUGAGCUAAUUCAGUGAGUCCUCUUGGAUGCCACUGUGGUUUUGAGGGUUUUGUUCAGCAUCAUGAAUGUGACAACAGAUGUCUGGUGAAGAGACUUGCCUUGAACAGCCUCCUUUGUCCCCUCCUUGGGAAGCAAUGUGGGACAGGGCUUACUUCUCCCGUCUUAUAGAUAAGAACAUUGUGCUUCAUACAGGUUCAGUGGACAGCCUUGAUUCCCACAGCUGCUGCUUCCCGGGCCCAUUCUCUGCUCAUGUGUAAGUCAUGAAGUGUCUCUGAAAUACUUAGCCAACAGCAUUAACCUAGCAGCUGAAUCCCUUUUUUUUUUCUUUCAGAUCAAAACAGCAGGUUUUAUAAGUUGAAAGCACAGAGGGAGAGCACGAGUCUCAGAAGUCUCUGGGCCCAAAAGGCAGGAGCUUCACAGCAUUUGGCUCUGCAGACUCCCUCCUGUGCAUGCUCACCCUGGGACACCUCCCUCCUGGCCUGGUUCCACUCUGCUUUGAAGAGAUAGGUGAUCCAGGCCAUUGUCAGAGAUGGGGUUCUCUUGCUGUCUCUCUGGCUGAUUCCACGCACAGGCGUUCUUCAAAUGCUGCUAGGACACUGAGCACUAAAUGUCAGCGGCAUGAGUGCAGGAGCCAGUCACAUCAGGGGCAGUCAUGGCGUGGCAGAGGAAGUGCAGGUAUGGCCACAGCACAAUGGCAAUGACGGCAUUUCCUACACCCACAGUUGGCACUCGAAGAACAGCCCUCACAGGCCAGGCUUGGACAGCCAUAGCAGGAUCAGUGUAUUUGGUAGACACAGGUAGUGGCAGGGGAGGCCCCAGUGGGGCUCCGUGACACAGAAGCCAUCACAUACAGUGAAGGAGAUCGAGACUCAGAGGGAGAGGAGGGCUGUGGUGGGUCCCAUGCAUGCCGCAAAGGACUGCAU